GCGAGCGGCGGACGGGUGAGUAAUGUCUGGGAAACUGCCUGAUGGAGGGGGAUAACUACUGGAAACGGUAGCUAAUACCGCAUGACCUCGAAAGAGCAAAGUGGGGGAUCUUCGGACCUCACGCCAUCGGAUGUGCCCAGAUGGGAUUAGCUAGUAGGUGAGGUAAUGGCUCACCUAGGCGACGAUCCCUAGCUGGUCUGAGAGGAUGACCAGCCACACUGGAACUGAGACACGGUCCAGACUCCUACGGGAGGCAGCAGUGGGGAAUAUUGCACAAUGGGCGCAAGCCUGAUGCAGCCAUGCCGCGUGUGUGAAGAAGGCCUUAGGGUUGUAAAGCACUUUCAGCGAGGAGGAAGGCAUCAUACUUAAUACGUGUGGUGAUUGACGUUACUCGCAGAAGAAGCACCGGCUAACUCCGUGCCAGCAGCCGCGGUAAUACGGAGGGUGCAAGCGUUAAUCGGAAUUACUGGGCGUAAAGCGCACGCAGGCGGUUUGUUAAGUCAGAUGUGAAAUCCCCGAGCUUAACUUGGGAACUGCAUUUGAAACUGGCAAGCUAGAGUCUUGUAGAGGGGGGUAGAAUUCCAGGUGUAGCGGUGAAAUGCGUAGAGAUCUGGAGGAAUACCGGUGGC
rnacentral:rRNA from 1 species